CCUACGGGUGGCAGCAGGGAGGAAUAUUGGUCAAUGGACGAGAGUCUGAACCAGCCAAGUAGCGUGAAGGAUGACUGCCCUAUGGGUUGUAAACUUCUUUUAUAUGGGAAUAAAAUGUUCCACGUGUGGGAUUUUGUAUGUACCAUAUGAAUAAGGAUCGGCUAACUCCGUUCCAGCAGCCGCGGUAAUACGGAGGAUCCGAGCGUUAUCCGGAUUUAUUGGGUUUAAAGGGAGCGUAGGUGGAUUGUUAAGUCAGUUGUGAAAGUUUGCGGCUCAACCGUACAAUUGCAGUUGAAACUGGCAGUCUAGAGUACAGUAGAGGUGGGCGGAAUUCGUGGUGUAGCGGUGAAAUGCUUAGAUAUCACGAAGAACUCCGAUUGCGAAGGCAGCUCACUGGACUGCAACUGACACUGAGGCUCGAAAGUGUGGGUAUCAAACAGGAUUAGAUACCCGGGUAGUC
rnacentral:rRNA from 1 species